UGAGGUUAAGCGACUAAGCGUACACGGUGGAUGCCCUGGCAGUCAGAGGCGAUGAAGGACGUGCUAAUCUGCGAUAAGCGUCGGUAAGGUGAUAUGAACCGUUAUAACCGGCGAUUUCCGAAUGGGGAAACCCAGUGUGAUUCGUCACACUAUCAUUACGUGAAUACAUAGCGUAAUGAAGCGAACCGGGGGAACUGAAACAUCUAAGUACCCCGAGGAAAAGAAAUCAACCGAGAUUCCCCCAGUAGCGGCGAGCGAACGGGGAGCAGCCCAGAGUCUGAAUCAGCAUGUGUGGUAGUGGAACGGUCUGGAAAGUCCGGCGAUACAGGGUGAUAGCCCCGUACACAAAAGUGCAUGUGUUGUGAACUCGAAGAGUAGGGCGGGACACGUGGUAUCCUGUCUGAAUAUGGGGGGACCAUCCUCCAAGGCUAAAUACUCCUGACUGACCGAUAGUGAACCAGUACCGUGAGGGAAAGGCGAAAAGAACCCCGGCGAGGGGAGUGAAAAAGAACCUGAAACCGUGUACGUACAAGCAGUGGGAGCCUCUUUAUGGGGUGACUGCGUACCUUUUGUAUAAUGGGUCAGCGACUUAUAUUCUGUAGCAAGGUUAACCGAAUAGGGGAGCCGAAGGGAAACCGAGUCUUAACUGGGCGUUAAGUUGCAGGGUAUAGACCCGAAACCCGGUGAUCUAGCCAUGGGCAGGUUGAAGGUUGGGUAACACUAACUGGAGGACCGAACCGACUAAUGUUGAAAAAUUAGCGGAUGACUUGUGGCUGGGGGUGAAAGGCCAAUCAAACCGGGAGAUAGCUGGUUCUCCCCGAAAGCUAUUUAGGUAGCGCCUCGUGAAUUCAUCUUCGGGGUAGAGCACUGUUUCGGCUAGGGGGUCAUCCCGACUUACCAACCCGAUGCAAACUGCGAAUACCGAAGAAUGUUAUCACGGGAGACACACGGCGGGUGCUAACGUCCGUCGUGAAGAGGGAAACAACCCAGACCGCCAGCUAAGGUCCCAAAGUCAUGGUUAAGUGGGAAACGAUGUGGGAAGGCACAGACAGCCAGGAUGUUGGCUUAGAAGCAGCCAUCAUUUAAAGAAAGCGUAAUAGCUCACUGGUCGAGUCGGCCUGCGCGGAAGAUGUAACGGGGCUAAACCAUGCACCGAAGCUGCGGCAGCGACACUAUGUGUUGUUGGGUAGGGGAGCGUUCUGUAAGCCGUUGAAGGUGGCCUGUGAGGGUUGCUGGAGGUAUCAGAAGUGCGAAUGCUGACAUAAGUAACGAUAAUGCGGGUGAAAAACCCGCACGCCGGAAGACCAAGGGUUCCUGUCCAACGUUAAUCGGGCAGGGUGAGUCGACCCCUAAGGCGAGGCCGAAAGGCGUAGUCGAUGGGAACAGGUUAAUAUUCCUGUACUUGGUGUUACUGCGAAGGGGGGACGGAGAAGGCUAUGUUAGCCGGGCGACGGUUGUCCCGGUUUAAGCAUGUAGGCGGAGAUUUCCAGGUAAAUCCGGAGUCUUGCUAACGCUGAGGUGUGAUGACGAGGCACUACGGUGCUGAAGUAACAAAUGCCCUGCUUCCAGGAAAAGCCUCUAAGCAUCAGGUAACACAAAUCGUACCCCAAACCGACACAGGUGGUCAGGUAGAGAAUACCAAGGCGCUUGAGAGAACUCGGGUGAAGGAACUAGGCAAAAUGGUGCCGUAACUUCGGGAGAAGGCACGCUGAUAUGUAGGUGAAGUGAUUUACUCAUGGAGCUGAAAUCAGUCGAAGAUACCAGCUGGCUGCAACUGUUUAUUAAAAACACAGCACUGUGCAAACACGAAAGUGGACGUAUACGGUGUGACGCCUGCCCGGUGCCGGAAGGUUAAUUGAUGGGGUUAUCCGUAAGGAGAAGCUCUUGAUCGAAGCCCCGGUAACGGCGGCCGUAACUAUAACGGUCCUAAGUAGCGAAAUUCCUUGUCGGGUAAGUUCCGACCUGCACGAAUGGCGUAAUGAUGGCCAGGCUGUCUCCACCCGAGACUCAGUGAAAUUGAACUCGCUGUGAAGAUGCAGUGUACCCGCGCAAGACGGAAAGACCCGUGAACCUUUACUAUAGCUUGACACUGAACUGGUCCUUGAUGUGUAGGAUAGGUGGGAGGCUUUGAAGUGUGGACGCCAGUCUGCAUGGAGCCAACCUUGAAAUACCACCCUUUAAUGGCUGGUGUUCU
rnacentral:rRNA from 1 species